rnacentral:rRNA from 1 species
AUGCGAACUAACAUGUUUUCACUUUCCCGACGUGGGCGCAGAGGUGAUCGACGCAGACUACCGCGACCCGGUGGGCGUCGUGCUCUUCAACAACUCGGAGGCGGACUUUGCUGUGAAGCCCGGCGACUGCGUCACACAGAUGAUUGUCCAGGUGAUUGCGAUGCCGGAGGUCGCCGAGGUGGAGGACCUUGA